AGCUAACGCGUUAAGUAGACCGCCUGGGGAGUACGGUCGCAAGAUUAAAACUCAAAUGAAUUGACGGGGGCCCGCACAAGCGGUGGAGCAUGUGGUUUAAUUCGAUGCAACGCGAAGAACCUUACCUACUCUUGACAUCCAGAGAAGCCAGCGGAGACGCAGGUGUGCCUUCGGGAACUCUGAGACAGGUGCUGCAUGGCUGUCGUCAGCUCGUGUCGUGAG
rnacentral:rRNA from 2 species